UACGUAGGGGGCAAGCGUUGUCCGGAAUCAUUGGGCGUAAAGAGCGUGUAGGCGGCCCGGUAAGUCCGCUGUGAAAGUCCAGGGCUCAACCCUGGGAUGCCGGUGGAUACUGUCGGGCUCGAGUCCGGAAGAGGCGAGUGGAAUUCCUGGUGUAGCGGUGAAAUGCGCAGAUAUCAGGAAGAACACCCGUGGCGAAGGCGGCUCUCUGGGACGGUACUGACGCUGAGGCACGAAGGCCAGGGGAGCAAACAGG
rnacentral:rRNA from 1 species